rnacentral:misc_RNA from 1 species
UUGACUUAUUAAGUACGAUACUCAGAGAGGCCUGUAAAAACAAUGGUUUGGGUGCCUCCGGCAGGCCUUUGGCGGCACCCUCGGUGAGGAGCCGGCCUGCCGAAGCAACUGUUCAGAGGUACGUUCACGAUGGUUUAAGGGAGUUUUGCAACUCUUUAAUGAUCCCUCCGCUGGUUCACCAACGGAGA